rnacentral:rRNA from 1 species
UACGUAGGGUGCAAGCGUUGUCCGGAAUUAUUGGGCGUAAAGAGCUCGUAGGCGGUCUGUCACGUCGGCUGUGAAACCCGAGGCUCAACCUCGGGCCUGCAGUCGAUACGGGCAAACUAGAGUACUGCAGGGGAGACUGGAAUUCCUGUGUAGCGGUGAAAUGCGCAGAUAUCAGGAGGAACACCGGUGGCGAAGGCGGGUCUCUGGGCCGAUACUGACGCUGGAGGAGCGAA